UGGGGAAUAUUGGACAAUGGGCGCAAGCCUGAUCCAGCCAUGCCGCGUGAGUGAUGAAGGCUCUAGGUUUUUAAAGCCCUUUCACCGGUGAAGAUAAUGACGGUUACCGGAGAAGAAGCCCCGGCUAACUUCCGGCCAGCAGCCGCGGUAAUACGGAGGGGGCUAGCGUUGUUCGGAUUUACUUGGCGUAAAGCGCACGUAGGCGGACUUUUCAGUCAGGGAUGAAAUCCCGGGGCUCAACCCCGGUACUGCCUUUGGUACUGGAAGUCUUGAGUAUGGUAGAGGUGAGUGGAAUUCCGAGUGUAGAGGUGAAAUUCGUAGAUAUUCGGAGGAACACCAGUGGCGAAAGCGGCUCACUGGACCAUUACUGACGCUGAGGUGCGAAAGCGUGGGGAGCAAACAGG
rnacentral:rRNA from 1 species